AUCAGCACAGAUGGAGCCCAGAGUCACUCAUAACAUAUUGGGUCCACUCUAUCUCCCCAUGUUGUGUGCUGCAGUACAAAAAGCAGAGGACCAGCAGAUUUUCCACAGUCCCUUUAUUCUUGCCCAGUAAAAUUGUAUACAUCAGUGGCAGCUGGAGGGAAUGCAACUUUAGGUCCUGAAAAUACCUCAAUCCAUCAACAAGGAGGUGUGGCAGCUGGUUGCUGCUGUCAUACAGGAAGGAAACUGUAGCCUUCACUUUGAGCCAUGAGAAGCAAGUCAAGAAGGGGACACUCGUGCUUUGACAGUGAACACAGUGGGGUCAAGAUCCAGGGAGAUCUACUGUAUCCCAUUGUUGCACUAUGUGUGCAGUUAGCAGCAGCCUUGCACAAGGCAGCUGAAGGAUACUGACUCAACAAUUAGUUGGCUGCCUGGCUUCUCUUGAGUAAGCAACAGUGUCUAAAGAAAACACUUGGAAGAGCUCAGAAAGAUUACUGUGAAGGAAAGCAUCAUAUGCAAUAUGAUUCUUCUUACCCACUGCAAAAAAGCAAUGAACUCAAACCUUUAGAAAUGCAAGUCAUUUUUCUUUAGAAGGCUGCAGGAAAAGCAGUGUUUUUAGAGGAAAUGUGAAAAAGGAAGCUGGCAAAACUCAUAAUAUGCCCAAUUCUGUUAACACAUCAUAUAAGAAAUAUGAAGAGAAAUUGACUAUCUUACACAGCAAUCAGGUUAUAUUUUAUUAUGUCCUGUACAAAAUAUAGCUAACUGUACUCACUAAAAAAAGUAGUUUUGUUAUGAAAACUUUAUUAGUGCUUUGGCUUGUAUAGACUUCUGGCUGGAACAUCUACCUCAACCCACAGAAUAAUUGGGGUUGGAAGAGACCUCUGGAGAUCCUCCAGGCCAACCUCCUCCUAAUGCAUGUUCCCUAGAGUAGGUUGCAUAGGAAAACAUUGAGGUAGGUCUUGAGUAUCUGCAGAGUAGACUCCACAGACUCUCUAGGCAACUUACUCCAGUAAUCUGUCACUCUCAAAGUAAAAGACUUUUUCUCAUGUUCAUGGUUUGUUAUUUGUGUUUCAGUUUGUGCCCAUUGCUCCUUGUUCUCUUGUGGACCACCACUGAAAAGAAUCUGACCCCAUUUUCAUGGCUCCGG